CAGUAAAUAGUUUAUUUUAAAAUAUCAAUUUUGGGAAUUGAAGAUUUAUUAAUGUAAUAAUUUCUGA
rnacentral:tRNA from 1 species